rnacentral:rRNA from 1 species
AGGGAAUCUUGCGCAAUGGGCGAAAGCCUGACGCAGCGACGCCGCGUGGGGGAUGAAGGUCUUCGGAUCGUAAACCCCUGUCUUUGGGGACGAAGCAUGACGGUACCCAAGGAGGAAGCCCCGGCUAACUACGUGCCAGCAGCCGCGGUAAAACGUAGGGGGCGAGCGUUGUCCGGAAUUACUGGGCGUAAAGGGUGCGUAGGCGGCCGCUUAAGUCCUGUGUGAAAGGCCCCGGCUUAACCGGGGAGGGUCAUGGGAAACUGGGCGGCUUGAGUGCCGGAGAGGGUGGCGGAAUUCCCGGUGUAGCGGUGAAAUGCGUAGAGAUCGGGAGGAACACCAGUGGCGAAGGCGGCCACCUGGACGGUAACUGACGCUGAGGCACGACAGCUGGGGGAGCAAAC